rnacentral:rRNA from 1 species
CGUGUGGUUCUAUUUUGUUGGUUUCUAGGACCGCCGUAAUGAUUAAUAGGGACAGUCGGGGGCAUCAGUAUUCAAUUGUCAGAGGUGAAAUUCUUGGAUUUAUUGAAGACUAACUACUGCGAAAGCAUUUGCCAAGGAUGUUUUCAUUAAUCAGGAACGAAAGUUAGGGGAUCGAAGACGAUCAGAUACCGUCGUAGUCUUAACCAUAAACUAUGCCGACUAGGGAUCGGACGGUGUUAUUUCUUGACCCGUUCGGCACCUUACGAGAAAUCAAAGUGCUUGGGCUCCAGGGGGAGUAUGGUCGCAAGGCUGAAACUUAAGGAAAUUGACGGAAGGGCACCACCAGGGGUGGAGCCUGCGGCUUAAUUUGACUCAACACGGGGAAACUCACCAGGUCCAGACACAACGAGGAUUGACAGAUUGAGAGCUCUUUCUUGAUUUUGUGGGUGGUGGUGCAUGGCCGUUCUUAGUUGGUGGAGUGAUUUGUCUGCUUAAUUGCGAUAACGAACGAGACCUUAACCUGCUAACUAGUCCGUAUUACCUCGGUAGUACGCCGACUUCUUAGAGGGACUAUCGGCUCAAGCCGAUGGAAGUUUGAGGCAAUAACAGGUCUGUGAUGCCCUUAGAUGUUCUGGGCCGCACGCGCGUUACACUGACGGGGCCAGCGAGUUCUUCCUUGUCCGAAAGGUCCGGGUAAUCUUGUGAAACCCCGUCGUGC